GUAGUCUCAAUCCCAUUUUUCCCAUCACUAUCUGGAAAUAUACUACUGGGUGUUGCGCUGGUGUCAAUAAAUUUCGAGGUAUUACGUAUGUGUGUAGGUAUGCUUGUUGUAGCGUUAAUGGCAUUAUUUGAAUAGUCUUUAAACUCGUUAAAAUUAUUUGUGAAAUUUAAACUAUUGGUGAUUAUUUUUCUGGAUCCAUUAUUCGGUAAACUUUCUGCUUCAUAAGUUGCAGCUAAUUUUGUAGUAGUCUCAAUCCCAUUUUUCCCAUCACUAUCUGGAAAUAUACUACUGGGUGAUGCGCUGGUGUCAGUAAAUUUCGAGGUAUUACGUAUAUGUGUUGGUUUGCUUGUUGUAGCGUUAAUGGCAUUAUUUGAAUAAUCUUUAAACUCGUUAAAAUUAUUUGUGAAAUUUAAACUAUUUGAUAUUAUUUUUCUGGAUCCAAUAAUCGGUAAACUUUCUGCUUUGUAAGUUGUAGCUACAUUUGUGGUAGUCUCAAUCCCAUUUUUCCCAUCACUAUCUGGAAAUAUACUACUGGGUGAUGCGCUGGUGUCAGUAAAUUUCGAGGUAUUACGUAUAUGUGUUGGUUUGCUUGUUGUAGCGUUAAUGGCAUUAUUUGAAUAAUCUUUAAACUCGUUAAAAUUAUUUGUG